CCUGGUCAGGGGAAGAGAGAGAGAGGGUGACAGCGUGGGACAUAAGGAAAUUCCAGUCUUCAGAUUUGUCCUAUGUGUACACACAGAAGGGUGGCAGACUGUAAGGUGGUUUGGUCAGCAGGAGCCAUCCCACACCAUCAGCCAAGGGAGCACACUGAUAUUUUGAGCACAUGGAGCACACGGCUACUGUGCUUCCUCUCCAGUGUCUCAGGAUGCUUCCCAUGCUACCACAUCCCACAGAAUUUUCCAAGGCUUGUUUCCCACAUGUUGUGGCCUCAGGGGCAGAGCUGUGGGUAAUGUCAUCACCUAUGCUGAGUGCCCACACACCAAGCCUUGGGGCCCACCUCUCAGCACUGUACCCAAGAAGGAAAGUUUAGUACCAGUGUGUAACACAGUAGUCAGUUUUAGUGUACUUACAAAACUGGACCACCAUCACAUCAUCUCUGAACACUCAUCACCCCAAAAGAAACUCUGUCCCCUCCAAAUGUAGGAGUGGAAGCCAGGGCUUCACAUAUGCUAAGUAGGCACUCUUCCUAUGAGCCAUGUCUCCUUUCUGUAGUUAUACACACAGGGCCAUCCCUAUCUUCUUUUUUUUCUUACUCUGUAGAUUAGCCUGGCCCUGUAUUUGUGUGCAAUCUUCCUACUUCUAUAAGGAUAACAAGCAAGCAUAAUUUACUCCACUUUAGAAAAGUUCCCUUUUAACGGACUUCUAAGAUACAGGGUCUUAUUGAGACAGGCUUCAUUUCAGCCUCUGUGUUAGAGCCUUGCUCCGCUCCACUGCUCUUGUGGCCGAAUAGCAUCCAUCUGUACAUUUGUGUUGUUUUGACUGUCAGUACUGAUAUGUGCAUGGUGUCAGCCCAAAGUUUGUAUGUAGAAACCCUAGCCUCCAGUGUGCCUAUGCCUGGAGUAUACAGAUUAGACAAGGUUAUCUAUGGCAUCUGGUCUCAUAGAGCUUUCACGUUUCUUUUUCAUCCAAGGCUGGCUUUGAACUCGCUAUGUAUCAGAACUUGAACUCUAAAUCCUCCUGCCUCUACCUGGUACUGGGAUUACAAGGCAUGUAUUACCAUGCAGGUUUAUGUCAUACUGAAGCUGGAUCCCAGGGUCUCAUGAACUCAGGAGAGCACUCUAUACCCACUGAGCUCAAGUUCCAGAGCUUACUAGAGAUGUUGUUACUGAGACACCUCACAGGGCUUAUCACUCUUGCUCCCUCAGCAAAGCAGCCCUGUUUGGACACAGCAUGAAGACAGCCAUCUGCAUAACAGGAGAAUCCCCUAUCUGAAACCCAGUGAGUCAGCACCUUGGUCCCAGACUCUAAAAUUGUGACAACAAAAUAAAAUGUCAUAUGUAUAAGCUGUCCGAUAUGUGGUAUUUUGUUAUGGCCCACCCAAGUAUUCCAACAAAAAUCUCAACAGGCUUUCUCUUAGCUGGGAGAGAGUUGGAAGGUAGUUACAGGUAAGCAGAACCACAUACUAAAGAUAGUGAAAUAGAGAUGGUCCAGGUAAAGCAGUGGCCUCCAACAUGUGGGCUGGGAUCCCUUUUGGGGUCACACAUCAGAUAUUUACAAUUCGUGAAGCAGCAAUGAAAUACUUUUAUGGUUGGGGGGGCAAUGAAAUACUUUUAUGGUUGGGGGGUGUCACCACAAUUUGAGGAACUAUAAUUAAAGGGCUGACGUAAAGGAACCCAGACACUGCCAAGACAGUCCAGGAAUUCUGGAGGAAGAGCAUGAGUGCUUUAACAACUGGUCACACUUCAAGGGGACAACAGCUAUUUCCCAGCACUCACUCCCACUAGGAAUGUGGGUUCUCAGGAGGGAAAAGUGACCAAAGCUGAGUUAUACCCAGACCUUUAAAAUGUAUCUGACAGGAAGAGGACUUUUUCUUGUUGCUGAAGCUGGCCUUCAACUCCUGAUCCUCCUGCCUCCACUUCCCAAUGUUCUACCACAUCUGGUCUCUACUUUCAAUGCAGCCCAGGCAGUCCUGGAUCUUGCCAUCCUCCUCUCUUCUUAUUUCAGCUCCCUAAGUGCUGAAAUGCCAAGCAGACCCUACCACACCAGCUAAGAGCCCUUUUCCCCUAGGGCCAAAGUCUAUCAAAAACAAGAGUUGGGAGAUGGGACGGAAGAUGGAUGGAAGGUAGGCAGAGGUGUAGUAUCUACUCACAAAGAGUUGAUAAGGUCACUCUGGGCACAUUCCCGAGGACCACCUGUGAAAGGACCAUGUGUUGGUGUGGUCAGGACUCUUGGUGAGUCAGGGAACUAAAAAGCCCCAUACUAAAGGUUUGGAGAAUUCAAAAGGAGACCUAGGUUCCUCUUUCCAGGAAAGAGAAGAUGAAAUAUUAAAAAGGAUAACAAACCUCAUGAGAAAGAGCAAGGGGUCAGCCAAGAUUCUGUGCUGGCCAUUCAAAGACCACUGUUGUGGGAUAUUUUGAUAGCACUUACUGAUUGGUUUGAGCUCUCUUGGUUCUGGAAUAAGGGAAGAGACGUGUUUCUUAGGGUGUAUCCAGCCAAAAAGGAAGGUCAGCUAGUUGCUACUCAACCUCUCUGAGCUAGCAGGUUUUCACCCCAGCCUUUGACUUCCUAGUCUUAUUGGUAAAUAGAAUGAUAGAGACUCAAUUUAAAACUACUGGGGGGGGGGGCGCACUGACAGAGGGGCUGUGGGGUGGCAUACAAUGAUGAGAGGCUCAGAGGGACAGUGCUAUGAAGAUGGCAACUGACAGAGCCAGCAGUUAAGUGUUGUGGUACCACCCACAGCUGGGGAGCUUCCCUAGGUGAACUACCCAGCCUCAUCCAAACAGUGGGUCACCUCACAGAAAGAGGAGCGGCAGGUGGAGGGAGCCUGACAGUGGUGCCAGUCAACACAACAGAAACGGGAGACACUUCCAUGUGUUUGGAUUUCACAUGGAUACAUGCAUGCUAAGAAAAAUCCAGGUGGGAGGGGAGAUUGGGGUGGUGGUGGAGGACACCAGAAGAAAGCAUAUUUUUGGGGGGGGCUUUCUUGGCAUUUGGAUGAACUGUCCUACCUGGGUAGGCCCACCACUGUCAUGAAGCACUUUGUAUAGCCCCUCUAAGCCAGGACUCCCACCUCUGGAACAAUUCAUAGCAAAUCUCUGCCACCCACACAGCCACUAGUUCUGGUCUGCUGGGAAUCAAUGCAUUAUCAACCCAGCUUCCUAGAGAUGGGAGACCCUGUCUUGACUUUCAAAUUACCACCUACCUCAUGUAUCACUGCAGACCCAUGCUGUUUUCUAUAUCGUGCAUGAUGACACCUUGUGGCCUGCUUUAAUUUUCCAUGGCCCUCAAAAAUGCUGGUAGCCCAAGCUUACAUUUUUAAAAAACUUCCCCCAUACUAUAACAAGCCCCAGGAUCUUGCAUAUGCUAAGCAAACUCUCUAGAUUGGCCACACUUCCAGCACUACUAUGUUGUCCUAGCUAGCCUUGAAUUUGCCAUGCUGUCUCAGCUUCCUCCCCUGGCACACAGUAUCUUCUCUAGAGGAGGGUAGCUGAAAGCUCUGAGUUCCCUGACGGUUUUCUUUUUAUUUCUUAUUUGUGUAUAUAAGUAACUACUCUCAGGAAAGUGCCACUUCAUGGUUUGAGAGCUGAGUCAGGGGACCACCAUCACGCUACAUAUGGCCUUGCUUGAGGUGGGGGGCAGAAGCUCAGACACGGCUAGAUGGCAGCUGGGAUCUGACUGAAGUUCAUCUCAUUAACUAGAAGCAUUGCUUGGCAAGAGGCCUCAGGUGGCUUGAUCUCCUAAAAGUCCAGGAGCAAACAAGCCCACACCUCUUUCACCAUGUGUCUGUUUUGUUCCCCCAAGGUCUUCCAUGUCUGAGACCAGGCUGCCUGGAAGGCUCUGUAUCUUAGGACGGAGGCAGAAUAUGUUAUGACCUACCCAUCUGGAGAAGCACCUUACGUUUUCCCAGGUGCAGCUUGGGAAGAAAAACAUCUAGGAAAGAACACAGGACAUCACCAGAGUGUGCCUGCAGCUGCAGAGCCCUGCACCCACCUGUUUAAGGGCAUUCCGAGCAAUUGUCUGGAAGGCCUGCUCCACAUUGAUGGCUUCCUUGGCACUGGUCUCAAAGUAGGGAAUGUUGUUUUUGCUGUAGCACCAAGCCUGUGCCCUCUUUGUGGCCACCUACAGGAGGGAGGACAUUACUGCCAUGAACAGCUCCAAGACAAGUACACUGGUGAGAACAGAUCUGGGGGUGAGGAUGAGUGUGGCCUAUAGACCCAAAGGUCGGGUCACUCUGUUGUCCAUGUGAGGGAUCCAAGCUUGAGCUAUUUUGGUCCACAGCCAGACCUUAUGGCCCUUAGCAGUGUGCCACAGGCCAGGAGCCAAUCCCAGGAGGUGGAAGGUGGGUCCAUGACAAUCUCUGGUAUAUACCCCUUUCCACUUGCUCAUCUUGAGCCACCUAAAGAAAUGGCAAGUGGCACGGAUUUUGCAGCGCUCACCCUUAGAUCUUUCCUUCCCUUGCCCCAGCCAAGAAACAGAGACAAAAUCUGGAAAGGGGAAGAGAUAGUCAGAAAUAAGCUGACCUAAAAAUUAACAAAACCGUGCCGGGUGUUGGUGGCGCAUGCCUUUAAUCCCAGCACUUGGGAGGCAGAGGCAGGAGGAUCUCUGUGAGUUCAAGACCAGUCUGGUCUCCAGAGCGAGUGCCAGGAUAGGCUCUAAAGCUUCACAGAGAAACCCUGUCUUGAAAAACCAAAAAAAAAAAAACAACAACAAAACAACAACAACAACAACAACAACAACAACACAACAUGUUCCAACAGAAAUGCUGUGUGAAAUCACAGCUGAGCAACACGACUCAAGGCCCACAGCAUUCUUCCAUCCUGAAGUGAGAAAAUCAAUUCCUUCCUUUAAGGGACAGGAAGGGAAUUGAGGCUCUGAGAAAAAGACAGCCCCACAUCAAAGCUGGCUGGGGUCAGCUGGUGACAAGUACUCCCACCAGCACCUUCCCAAAGUAUUCUGAGUCUGGAAGAGAACCCUCCAAACUCAAGGUACCAGAGGAGGAGGGGCCUGUGAAUGUUAACUCCCAUGUUAGCACUUACUUGUCUGUUUUCAAGGUCAAUCUUGUUUCCCAAUACAACAAAAGGAAAGUUCUCAGGAUCCCGGGGGCUGGCUUGGAUAAGAAACUCGUCUCUCCAGCUGUCAAGGGUUUUGAAUGUGUUAGGGGCAGUCACAUCAAACACCAGAACACAGCAAUCUGCACCUCUGUAGAAGGCCACACCAAGAGACUGGAACCGUUCUUGACCAGCUGUGUCCCAGAUCUGCAAGAAGAAAAACACCUAGUCUUCAGGAGGUGCUGGGCAGUGUGGGGUGUGUGUGGGGUGUUGUGUGCACAUGUAUGGGACUGUGGCAAGAAACGCCUCUAUCUACUCCCAGGUAUGUGCUCAGAACAUGAAGAAGGUACACUUAUGUAUUCUGGGAACUUUCUAAGGGCUUGAUUAUUGUGCUUUAUUUAUUUGAGUGUUCUAUGUAGCCACAUAGGCCUUGGACUUGCAAUCCUUCUGCCUCAGCUUGGUGUUGAGAUUACAGGUAUGCAUUACCACAAGCUUUUCUAGAGGUAGUAGAAAUAAAACAUUAGUGACUAAAAUGAGUAUUUCUACCAAUGGAUUUUGAACAAUGUCAUUUCUUUAAUUAAAAAAGUUGUUUUUGUUCUUAAUUUAAAACAAAAGCAAAAUUAAUUAAAAACCCUUACAAAAAGAUCUGGAGAGACAAGAACAACAGAGUAGAAGCUAGCAACAGGUCCCACUGGUUCAGAACAAAUACUGUCCUAUAUGGCCAUGUUUAAUUUAGGUUCAAAUGGUAUAAGGAAUUCAGAAAAAAAAGAACAAGAACUCAAGCUGAAAAUUGGGGCAUUAUUCCCAGCAAGUUUCUAAAUCGACCUUAGCUUCAAACUUACAAAAGUACAUUUCAUAUUUGUCAACUAUUAGAACAAAAAAAUACAACCCUAUGUCAAAUGGUCCUUUUAAAUUUUCUAACUGAAUGUUUUUGGAAGGUAGUGGUAGGAGCAGCACACAGGGCAUUUCGAACUCCGAGCAAGCUCUACUGCUCCUUUAUAUAGACUCCGAAAUGAAUCAAUGUAUUUGAUUUAAUGUGGUCUAAUAAAUCCUGAUCUUUUA